GAUGAACGCUGGCGGCGUGCCUAAUACAUGCAAGUCGAGCGAACAUAUGAUGAGCUUUCUCCUCUGACGUUAGCGACGGACGGGUGAGUAACGCGUAGAUAACCUACCUAUAAGACUGGGAUAACUUCGGGAAACCGGUGCUAAUACCUGCUAAUAUAUUGUACCGCAUUAUUCAAUAGUGCAAGAGAGUUUUGCUGUCACUUAUAGAUGGAUCCGCGCCGCAUUAGCUAGUUGGUAAGGUAACGGCUUACCAAGGCAACGAUGCGUAGCCGACCUGAGAGGGUGAUCGGCCACACUGGAACUGAGACACGGUCCAGACUCCUACGGGAGGCAGCAGUAGGGAAUCUUCGGCAAUGGGCGAAAGCCUGACGGAGCAACGCCGCGUGAGUGAAGAAGGUCUUCGGAUCGUAAAACUCUGUUAUUAGGGAAGAACAAGGGCGUAAGUAACUAUGCGUGUCCUGACGGUACCUAAACAGAAAGCCACGGCUAACUACGUG
rnacentral:rRNA from 1 species